rnacentral:rRNA from 1 species
GUAGGUGGCAAGCGUUGUCCGGAAUUAUUGGGCGUAAAGCGCGCGCAGGCGGUUCUUUAAGUCUGAUGUGAAAGCCCACGGCUCAACCGUGGAGGGUCAUUGGAAACUGGAGAACUUGAGUACAGAAGAGGAAAGCGGAAUUCCACGUGUAGCGGUGAAAUGCGCAGAGAUGUGGAGGAACACCAGUGGCGAAGGCGGCUUUCUGGUCUGUAACUGACGCUGAGGCGCGAAAGCGUGGGGAGCAAACAGGAUUAGAUACCCUGGUAGUCCACGCCGUAAACGAUGAGUGCUAAGUGUUAGGGGGGUUUUCCGCCCCCCUUAGUGCUGCAGCUAACGCAUUAAGCACUCCGCCUGGGAGUACGGCCGCAAGGCUG